rnacentral:lncRNA from 1 species
UUAUAUACCUGGUGGCUUUCUCUCUCCUGGCAGUUACAGAUUUGGACACGUGGCUCGCAUCCAACUGUACACGUGCCAUCAUCUGGAGGCUCCUUGACUUGGCGCUGCUUCUACUCUCAUUUUGGCUAAGUUACUUAUGCAUGGUACUGCCCAGUGCAUAGCUAACUUGGGAGUGCGAUCUCUACUGGAACUGGCGAGUUAGGGGCCUUCAUACACCUUCCCUGUGGUCUCGCCGGCCGCCUUCAUAAUCUGC